UAUUGGCAUGCAUGACCAGCAAUUCGAGAAUAGCGUCAAAACAACCUAUUUAUUGUAUAUUUUUAUUAGUGGGAUAUUUUAUAUUCUAUAUUCUAAUUGUGUGCCUUCAAUAACUAAAGGUGGAACCAUUGACCAUGAUUUGAUUGUAUUCUCACCGCAUUCUUGAUUUUCAAAGAUGUGCUUAUCAUUGUAAUUUGGGAAAUGUAUAAACAAAAUCCACGUAACUGUUGGCCCAGACGAACUCUGAUUGCCACACAGGUAAGUACCGACCUAGCAUAUAAAAUUCAGGCUGUUAGCUUUGGAAAUGAAUUGUCAGCAAUGUGUAAUGAUCCACAUUGGAAAAAUAUGUUCAGUUGAUACGGCAAUAAAAAAUGUCAAAAUUAUUGAUCAUACAGUUGGAUUAGCUAUCUCAUGGGCUUCAACCUUUGUAUGUUGCUUCUCUUUAGAUUAUAUUGCUCUAUUAACUUCAUUUUCUUCUUCUUCUCUAAUGAUAUACUCAUGUCAGCAUUUUGCUGAUGUUCUAGAUUGCCGAGAUGAAUGGAUGGUGCAUGGCUAAGUUGAUUGCAAGGUGGAAAAUGGGGCUAGUAGCAGAUAGUUGUCCACUAAUGUUAUAUAAUUUCGUUGUCAUGGUCAAUGUAUAGAAAUCAUGUAUAUAUACUUUGGAUUGUGUCCAUGUAAUGCAACCUAUUCUAUUUAAUAUAUGAGAUCUUUCUUUUUAC
rnacentral:lncRNA from 1 species